GAUGAACGCUGGCGGCGUGCCUAACACAUGCAAGUCGAGCGAACAGACGCGGCGUUUGCUCCUCUGACGUUUGCGGCGGACGGGUGAGUAACACGUGGAUACCCCACCUUUAAGACUGGGAAAAUUUCGGGAAUCCGGCUCUAACACCGGAUAAUCUAUUGAUCCGCAUGGUUCAAUAGUGAAAGACGGCUUUGCUGGAACUUAUCGAUGGUUCUGGGCGGUAUUAGUUGGUUGGUAGGGUAACGGGUUUCCAAGGCAAAGAUGCGUAGCCGACUUGACAGGCGGAUCGGCCGCACUGGAAGGGGGACACGGACCUUACGCCUACGGGAGGCAGCAGAAGGGAAUCGUCCGCAAUGGGCGAGAGCCUUACAGAGCAGCGCCGCGUGAGUGGUGAAGGUCUUCGGAUCGUAAAGCUCUGUUAUGGGGGAAGAACAGAUGUGUAAGGAGAUGUGCACGGCUUGACGGUACCGAAUCAGAAAGCCACGGCUAACUACGUG
rnacentral:rRNA from 1 species